GGAGGACCAACAAUGCUAUUUGUGGCUGGCGAACCUUAAAAUAUUAAUCGUCUGUCGCUCACACUCCCUGCCGGGUCUGCAGCAUGUACCCAUCUGUUUGCUAUGAGGUAAAAAUAGGGUUCUAUCUGCUUUCAGAAGAUAAAAGAAUUUAACAGGAAGCAAAUGAAAGAUUUCUGGUCUGGAAAAGAUGAGGCAAAACAGAGGCUGGAUGAGUAUAUGGAUUUGGUGACAAAGAGAGGUCCAAGGAACAGUCAAGGAAGAUGAACUGCCCCAUCCACCUGGGACAGUCCUCCAGGUUCAGUGAUCUCCGAGGGGCACCAUCUUUUGCUGGGGGAGCCUUGGAGGUGAUGGCCAGUGUUUUGGACUCUGUUGGAAGACAAGACACAGAGAGUAAGGAAUUAUGCAUCAAAGCCAAUAUACCCUUUGCCUGAUAGAAUGCCUAAUUUGUUCUGUAUUGGUCUCAAAAGGAAGCUCAAGAUUAGUACAAACUAACUUUUUCCUCACUAGAGAAAAACACAAGACAUCUACUAAACUUUCCUUCAACACCACAAUACAGUCGGUAGCAACUUCAGCAGAAACUUGGGGUUGGAGCUCCAUUCCACAUAUCAUCAACUGCAAGUCUUUGCACUUCAGUGCAUUGCAUUAUUUAUUUGAAGGCAUUACCAAGCGUGUUUCCAAAUUAAGUUAGUGCAUAUGGUGACAAGCUGAUGCAUAUAUAUAUACUUAAUAAAAUUACCUUUUCAUCUGUUCUCUCUUAAUAAAUAUUGUAUAACACACAG